rnacentral:rRNA from 1 species
CCUACGGGUGGCAGCAGUGAGGAAUAUUGGUCAAUGGGCGCGAGCCUGAACCAGCCAAGUAGCGUGAAGGAUGACUGCCCUACGGGUUGUAACCUCCUUUUAUAAGGGAAUAAAGUAAGCGAUGUGUGCCUUUUUAUAUGUACCUUAUGAUUAAGGAUCGGCUAACUUCGUGCCAGCAUCGGCGGUACUACGGAGGUUCCCUGCGUUAUCCGGAUUUAUUGGGUUUAAAGGGAGCGUAGAUGGGUUGAUAAGGCAGUUGUGAAAGUUGGGGGGUCAACCCUAAAAUUGCAAUUGAUACUGGCAGUCUUGAGUACAGGUGAGGCAGGCGGAAUUCGUGGUGUAGCGGUGAAAUGCGUAGAUAUUACGAAGAACACCGAUGGCGAAGGCAGCCUGCUAAACUGCAACUGACGGUGAUGCGCGAAAGUGUGGGGAGCAAACAGGAGUAGAUACCCCUGUAGUC